CAGUCGCCGCGGUAAUACGUAGGUGGCAAGCGUUGUCCGGAAUUAUUGGGCGUAAAGCGCGCGCAGGCGGAUAGGUCAGUCUGUCUUAAAAGUUCGGGGCUUAACCCCGUGAUGGGAUGGAAACUGCCAAUCUAGAGUAUCGGAGAGGAGAGUGGAAUUCCUAGUGUAGCGGUGAAAUGCGUAGAUAUUAGGAAGAACACCAAUGGCGAAGGCGACUUUCUGGACGAAAACUGACGCUGAGGCGCGAAAGCCAGGGGAGCGAACGGGAUUAGAGACCCCGGUAGUCCCUGUCUCUUAUACA
rnacentral:rRNA from 1 species